AACCCUUUUUCAUUAUCAAAAGUUCAAAACCCUCGCUUCACAUACACAGUAGAGAUUCAUUACGACAUCAACCUCUCGUUACUGAAGUAAUUCGUGGUGAAGUAUUAUUCAGAAACCAACAAGAGAGUAUAUUGAGGUCAAUUACAAACAGCUUUGAUUACAUUAAUAAGGUCGGUUUGAAGCUUGAAAUUUUUAAUUGAGCAUUGUAGAUGCAAGAGUGUUAUAUUUUGGCACAAGUUUGGGAACGAUUGGAACUUCUUCUUUUUUCUUUUUUUUUUUUCGUGGUUAAGUUAAUAAUUUAUUGAUCAUCCGCACAAAGAAUGUGCUGGCUUCAAUUCAAUGCAUCUAGACUCUGCAAAUUAUCUAUAAUUUUAUUUAUGUUUGCUUCAUUUUCACUUAGACUGAUGAUUAUGCUUUUUAUAUUAGCGAAAAUUUGAAGAACUAGAAGAACACUUGUUUCAAGUUUGAAGAACUUCUCGGACUCAUUCUAACUGAUUCGGGUAGAUGAGAAAUCAUCGCAACGAAUCAGGCUCUGAGUAUUUUGCUAAUGGAAGGAGAUCGGUAUUUCGAGUUUGAUGAUUGACGUAAUUUGAUGAGUUAUUGGAAAGAAGAUUUUCAAUAUAAGGAAACAAUAACAAGUUUCUUGUCAAAAGCGCAAUGGAAGAAAUUGAGAGAUGGUGUUUUUGGAAAAAAAAACUCGGCUAGAAGGUGUUAAAUUCUGUGGUAAAUUAAUUCAUUGUGUGUUGCUUUCUGAAAUUGUAAGCAAUGAUAAGAAUUCAAUGAUAUUUAAGGUUUUUGAUCAUGGAGUGAAGUUUACAAAUGAAGCCUUCCACAUAAUUACUGGGUUGAAAUGUUCUUCUUCAGGGGACUUUAACUUUUUGAAUGAAAUAGAGAAUAAGCUUUCUAAACUUCACUGGUAAGGAAAGAAUUAAAUUAGGGAAUUUGUGGCAUUUUAUUACUAGUCGCCCAUCUGGUACAACUGCGUCAUUUGUAGGUAGCAACGGCGAUGCAGUAAAGUUGGCAACAAUUUAUUUUGUUGAGCAUGUGUUGAUGGGUAAGCGUAAGAAUAGAAAUGUGUCUGAGCGGGUUAUGAAAAUUAUUGAUGAUGAUCAACUCUGCUCUUCUGUCUAUCGGGGCUCUUUUUGUUAUCAAAAGUUGUCAACUCAUUGAAAAGUUGCUUGAAGCCCAAACAAAAACUUCAGACAAUGAGAAUGAGAAUGAGAAAGAGCAAAAGAAAGAGAAGGUCAUUUAUACUAUAUUUGGAUUCCCCUUUGCCCUCUAUGUUUGGAUUAUGGAAGUACUCCCAAUUUUUCAGGAAAAAAAACUUUGUCAAAUUCAAAGAAUGCGGGUUCCCUAGGAUGUUAUGUUAUUCAGAUAUGAAAUCUUCGCAUUAUGAGAGCCUCUGUAAAAACUACUUCCAUAACAAAAAAGUAUCUGAGAUACUCGUGAUGGUACCACUUGUUUAUUCUGAAGAAGUAGUAGAGCCCACUAGUGUGCAUGCAUAAUUAUCUCGAGAUGAAAGUUCAAUGCCUUCAACACAAUUUGAUGAAGGCUUGCUUAAUAAAGUUGUUGAUGUAAGUAUUCUGUAACGAUCCGACCUGUCGUUUUACUAUACAGAUCCCCGUUCCUCUAAAUAAGACUCCCCGUAUGUGCUUUUACUGUUUUAUGUCUUGAGGGGAUGGUUAGGACAUGUUUGGAAGGGUUCGGGUUGAGAUUAGAACAUUCAAUUCCUUAAGAUUGGCUUUAAAUG